rnacentral:rRNA from 1 species
GGCUUCGAGCUUAACUCCAACCCCUGUGACAUACCAAUUGUUGCCUCGGCGGAUCAGCCCGCUCCCGGUAAAACGGGACGGCCCGCCAGAGGACCCCUAAACUCUGUUUCUAUAUGUAACUUCUGAGUAAAACCAUAAAUAAAUCAAAACUUUCAACAACGGAUCUCUUGGUUCUGGCAUCGAUGAAGAACGCAGCAAAAUGCGAUAAGUAAUGUGAAUUGCAGAAUUCAGUGAAUCAUCGAAUCUUUGAACGCACAUUGCGCCCGCCAGUAUUCUGGCGGGCAUGCCUGUUCGAGCGUCAUUUCAACCCUCAAGCCCCCGGGUUUGGUGUUGGGGAUCGGCGAGCCCUUGCGGCAAGCCGGCCCCGAAAUCUAGUGGCGGUCUCGCUGCAGCUUCCAUUGCGUAGUAGUAAAACCCUCGCAACUGGUACGCGGCGCGGCCAAGCCGUUAAACCCCCAACUUCUGAAUGUUGACCUCGGAUCAGGUAGGAAUACCCGCUGAACUUAAGCAUAUCAAUAAGCGGAGGAA